rnacentral:lncRNA from 1 species
UCUCAUUUUCUAAUACUCCAAUUUCACACAAGAGUGUAGCUGCAAAUUCCAUGAAGCCGGAAUUUCUCACUCAUGGUCAUGGACACCAAACCAUCAAGUUCGGAGUCUUCAUCUUUAGACCCAACUGCGCUCGACUAAAGUCCACUGUUACAAUUACACAAUCUUGCCUUCCCAAACAGGACCUUAAAGGCCAAUCCGUCGCAGUAAGAUACCCUUGUUAACUUCUUUUCCUUUUUCGACCUUUAAUCUGUACUGUAAAUAUGUUACGUACUAAUCUUUCCAGUAUUUAUUCUUCUGUUACUGAUUUUUCUGUUGAUCGUUUGUUUUGAGGCUUAAUUAUGUAUUCCAUGCCUCCUAAACUUGGCACGCUUUAACGCCAGGAUCUUCUGCCACAUUCCAAUCACGAAAGACGUCCUGAUUCUGCACAGUAAACACGACAAACACCACAAGUUU